CUGCCACAAGCUCUGAUCUGACUCCAGAAUUCCCCGUCCAUCUCGAACAUUUUUGAAGAAAGAACGAUCAAAAUUGUUACCGCUCCCGUAGUCCAAAGCGAUACGUUUAUUUCCAUCGCCAUUUUUAGGGCAAAGCGAUUGGAGUGUAGGAAGGAACGAGGGAUCGAUGGUAGGAUCAGCACCCCCGGAGUUUGUGAAGUUGUAUAAUCUGUAGCUCACGAAUUGGCAAGCCACUGUUCCAAUAGUGUGUCCUCCUGCAACACAUUUUUGUACUAUAUGGUUUAGAAUGUUGCAUGCAUGCAGAUAGAAAAAUUUCGGAUGUCUGAUAAACGUAUGUAAUAUUGGCUUAUUGCUUACCAACAAGGGUAACAAGAUCUUGAGCGCUUAGACCAACAUCUGCAAAUUUUUUCUUCUGGACCGCGACUGAGUCUGUGAAACUCGGCAAAUUGGCGGUGUCGGACGCCAAUGACACUCGUCCGUCUCUCCGGCCAGUAGGCACGCGAUAAGUCAGUGCACCGACCUGCAUGUGAAAACAUAAGAACAAUGAGAUGCUGAUAUAACAAUGAUCCUACUUCGAAAUAGCAUAAAUUAUUUGAAUUUUUUGGUUAAAAUCAUAUAUAGCACAUUCGAAACAUUUAUCUUACUUCUACUGUGGCAUCACGAGCAGCAAGAGCAAGAAUAUCAGCACACGACACGACUCCGGGGCAUGCUGCCUCUAGCUGUGUUUUGGCAUCCUCAAUCACUUCAUAUCCUCUCAGCAGAAGAUUUGGCCUAGCGGUUUUCUCAGCAUUGCUGCCAUCGAUAAGAAUCGAAGCAUCGCAACCAUGAACGAAGCAAUCAUGGAAGACCAUUCUGAGCAGUCCGGGGGCAACAGUGGAAUCGGAGUUAACAUGUUUCUUAACGGUGGCUUGAACGAUGGAUUCCGCUCUGGGACAAGAGGUGGAAUAGAAGCCGACCCUAGUCUGAGCUAGAGCUAAGGGUGUGGCGACUAGAAGAACAAAUAGAAUAGAGAGUUUGCUAAGGAAAGAAUCCAUUUGAGUUUGUUAUGUGUUGUUAUAAAUUGAUUGUGUGUUUAGAGGAAACGAAGGUGGUGUAUUUAUAGGGACAUAAAAGUGCUAAAAUGGGCUAAACGUGUGGAGACCAGAGAGAACCAGGGUCAAUGAAAAAUACGUGGCAACGGAUUGGAAAAGUUGUCCACUGGUGAGUUGUAGUCCACUCUCGGGCUGCCCAAGUUGUUUGAUUCGUUGAUUGAUAGAAGAGUCAAAUGAAUGUUCAUACAUGCGGUUGCAUAGUUUAAGUUCAAUUUAUGUCAGAUUUUCUCAGACACGUACUCAGUGGAUUAAUAUUUUGGCAUUUACCUCAUAUAUACAUAAAAGUUUGCUCAGAAACUAAUUCCUUCUUGUAAAUUAUAGAGUAAUAAUUAUUGAUUAGAUAUUCAAAAUUCCAACAAUUAUGGACUUACUCGAAAUUCAUUUUACGGUCUUAAAUCAUCGUACAUGCAGUAUUCUAAAAAUCCCCGAUUUAACCGAUAAAUCCCCUGCAAGGUCGGCCACCGAUUCGAUUUUUUAAAUCCGAUUAAUCCUUAUAUAUAUUCCUUAAUCGAAGUAUAUAUGAUAAAUUAUUAAAAUUAAAAUACUAUAUUACUUUAAGUAUGGUUUAUUAUAGAGUUUAUGAAUAUGGUAAAGAUAUUAGUUACUAAAUAGCUAAUAUAAUAAUAACUAAAUAUUAAAUAAUAUUUUAAUAUAAAAACAAAACCGAUUUUCACUCCGAUUAAUCCUUGCGAUUAAUCUCCGAUUUCCGAUUAAUCCCUGAAUCGGUAGCUCAACCGAUUAAGUCCGAUUCUCGAUUUCUGUAACACUGCAUACAUGUAUAAAUAAUAUCUCUAUCAUUUUUUUUUUAAUUUAUACUCAUUUUAUUCUAUUACAUCCACUCCAACUAAACACAACAUAAUUGUGUGUUUGUGUGUAAGCCUAAUAUUACAACUCUUGAAACAUAAUUUGAAAUUAGUUUUACAAAACUAUAUUUGAAAUGUUGUAAAUCAUUGUGCUUGCGGAAAAUGGUGAAGUGGGAACCGGAAAAGAAGCUUAAAUAAGUGUGAAACGCAUACGCAGGCGAAUACCUUGAUGUUACGUUCUAUCAAGGAAACUAAAGUAAUGGCGAAGCUGUUGCAAACUUAAUUUUGUGUGGAGUAUUAGUACUCCAAAUGGAUAGCGUAAACAUGUUUUCUAUUACAAAGUUGUUAGGGUGUCAAAUACUCCGCUAACACUGACAUGCAUGCAUUCCAUGAUUAAAAAACUAAAAAUUACUAAAAGAGAAGGUGGAAACUAUUGACUCGGGGUUCAGCAAAAGUUUUCAAAAGAGUCAAAGCAAUGCGUGUGGGGUCGCGAAUAACUUACUCUGCAUUAUCAUGAAACUUCCUGCACUAGUAUUUAACUAUUCUUUGUCAAGCCUUCUACUUUACUCCCUCAAUUUGUUUUAUUUAACAUUUUAAUUUUUCACACGUAUUUUCUGGUGAAGUGAUCUGAUAAUAUAAUUAUUUUUAUUAUAUUUUUGCCAAUUAUGAUAUUGAUUAUAUAUUUUUAUUCUGAAAAUUAAAAUUUUGAAUUAUUUUUAGUUAUCUAGUCAGAAUAUUUAAAAAUAUGUAUUAGAAACCAAACGUCGAAUAAAAUAAUAAGAUCGAGCUAUAUGUCUAUCAGGGAGGCAAAAACCGCAUGCUGUAUAUGACUGUUCUCAAAAUCUACGUGCCGUGAUAAUCAAAUAGCGGUUUCGUAAAAGAGUGUGAGAAUAAAUUAAAGAGUUUAAGAAGUAAUUAUUCCAGUUAGUUUUCGAUACCUCUUGUGCAAAAAUACAAAUUUUUGCAUAAAACACAGAACUCCUCAUAUUUAAUUUAGAUGGAAUUAAAACACAAAAUAUAUUGUCUUUAAAUGAUUCUACUGAAUAUAUUUUUAAUCAUCGACAGAUUUUGGGAGGACAAAUUUCAAUCUGAACCCUGCAUCAUUCUUUUGAUCACAAAAGAUAUUAAUCAAAAACUUGUCUUCGUCUUCUCUGUUCAUAAGUCAGCUUUUACGCAACAGCUAUUUCAUUAAAGUUUUCUAAAGAUUAUUCAUGUUCGAUAGAAAAUUAUUGUCAGACAUUUUAAUUCACAAAUUAUAUUUCAAAAAUAUUACUAUUUCAUUUGAAAAUUUUAAAAUGUUAUAUAUAUAUUUCACCUUAAAUAUUUUAUUUGCUGAGUUUUGCAGGACAUCUUAUUCACGAUUACAUAUUUUUCUACUCCAUCACAUGGUUUUUUUGCUUACUUUUUAGUUAAACCAGUCAUUGUGUCCGACAGCAAAACCAACACGGACUAUAGGUAUCGAGGACGAUUUCUCUCUGAUGCUAUAGGUAUAUUAUUUGUGUGUAUGGUAGAAUGUAUAUCUAUUAUUUUUUUUUGUCACUUUAUAUGGCAAUUUUUCUUAGCUGUGAUAAUAGAUGAAAACAUGAGCUGAGUUGCUUUUGAGUUUUGACAUAUAAUGUUCAUGGAGAGUUUCAUGUUAAAUGCCUAAAAAAUGUUUACGGAGUAAGGCUGACAGACUAUAUGCACGUAGUAUGAAAAAGUAAGGGGCGACGGGCGUCAUCAGCUCACCUUCACUACAAUAAAAUCGGGUACUUACGACAGAAAUUCGUAUCUAAAAAACAGCGCCGUCCUUGGAUCCGGCACUUCUCCCUUAUUUUUCAUUUGAAAAAAUAUUUAUAAAAAACUUAUGACAUCGUACUCUAGUAUUAUAAUUAUUUGAUUUUUUCAAUUGAAAAAAUAUUAAAAUAUAUAAAAAGCUUACAACGGAUUCGUUUUUCGUCGUAACAAUUUAAGACGGAACUCUACUAAUCCAUAGUAACUUUAUACGCGUGGUCCCUCAUAAGUUAUCUGUUACUAUAACUUAUAAAUGACUUUAUUUGUUGUAGCGCUUGUCGUAUACCCCGGCCUGGUAUAAUUGGCCCCAUCUCCUUCAUUCUAUGCACCACCGUAUAUUUGACUGAACAGACACAUUGCAUCACCAGAUGCCCCACCAUUCAUGAAAUCCCAGUUUUAGUAGAAUAGCACUCAAAUAAGUGAAUAACUCCACUCAAUCUUGUCAUAGCCUUAGCCAUGUCCAACUUAAACGCCAUAAACCCCUCCUUUCCUGUUCUCUUUAGUUUGUGAUAGUGCAUGACUUCAUAACUUAUAAUUAGAAUAUCUAUCUAGGGUUAAAUUUGUAGUGAUAAAUUAAAAUUAAUUUUUUAAUUAAACCGAUCGAUCACAAAAUUAUAAUGUCUUUUCAUUAUAUUUUAUUUUAUAUCAAUUUUUCAGUAUUUGAAUAUCAAAUUCUUAAAAUCAAAAUUAUUUUAAUUUGUAUAUAUCGAUAUAUACAGAAAUCAAUGAUUACUGGGUUAGUCAUUGAUAUUAUAAGAUUAAAAAAAAAUAUCGUAUACUAUUGGGUUUAUUUCCAUCGCCAUUUUUAGGGCAAAGCGAUUGGAGUGUAGGAAGGAACGAGGGAUCGAUGGUAGGAUCAGCACCCCCGGAGUUUGUGAAGUUGUAUAAUCUGUAGCUCACGAAUUGGCAAGCCACUGUUCCAAUAGUGUGUCCUCCUGCAACACAUUUUUGUACUAUAUGGNUCCCUCGCUUACCUUUAAAUAUUUAUAGUGAUCAGAAUAAAAUCGCUCGAUCAAUAUAAAAUAGUUAUCCCUGUCUCAUCACUUGUAUACGUAUAAAAUAUAAUAAUUUCAUAAUAUAUUUCUAAAAUUUAAUAAAAAUUUGAUGUUUAAACUCAUCAAAAAUUAAAAAAAAAAUUAUUAUAAAACUGUAAUUUAUUGGAGUCUCUAAAUGUGUGCAAAUAGUGAAAGUAUACAUCAAAAUAGAGGGACGAAUAUAAUAGUUUGCACUCACAUUCCGUAAAUAAAUCGAGCAUGUACAAAUUACUCGUUUUCAUCCUAUUUAAAUGAAAUAGGAUGAAAACGAGUAAUUUGAUGUUCACUCUAAAUGAAAUGAGGAUGAUAAUUAAAUAAAAAUUACAAAAAUACUGAGAAAAAGAAAAAUAUUUAAAAUAAAAGUAAUUUAGUUUGAAUGAAUUAACUUUUAUGUGAUCAUGUUGGAAUAAUAGUACAAGAAGUAAAAUUUUAAUUAUAAGUACAUGAUUAGAUCUCUAACUAAAGAUAAUCUGAACUAAAAUGAUAAAAGAAAUGGAAAUUAUAAAUAUGGCCCAGCAAGCAAAGUAUAAAUUGUAUUUCAUUAAGUGACCAUUCCUAAUAUAAAAAUAUAUAUAUAUUGUACAUGAAAAACAUCUGUUUCUUAGUUCUUGAAGACGCUUUAUACUCUUUAUAUAUAACUCAAACAAUACGUGUUUGUUUGUAAAUGAACUUUCUUUGCUGUUCGUGGAAGCUUUUACAACUGCAGGCUUAUUUUGCAUCCGCCUACUCAAGUUUUCAUAACUCUAGAACUGGAAUAUCAAAGUUCGACUCUAAUUAACUCUUGAACAGACCUUUCGAAUUUCCCCGGCCGUCCCAGUGUUCACCCCAAUAUUCGUCAUUUUAAUCAUAGAUUUUCCGAAUUCGACGUUCAAAGUCAAUCCAGCCAAGCCUCUGAUACCCAUAAAUCUCUGCGCAAAGUUCCUCGUUGUACUGUCCUGCCACAAGCUCUGAUCUGACUCCAGAAUUCCCCGUCCAUCUCGAACAUUUUUGAAGAAAGAACGAUCAAAAUUGUUACCGCUCCCGUAGUCCAAAGCGAUACGUUUAUUUCCAUCGCCAUUUUUAGGGCAAAGCGAUUGGAGUGUAGGAAGGAACGAGGGAUCGAUGGUAGGAUCAGCACCCCCGGAGUUUGUGAAGUUGUAUAAUCUGUAGCUCACGAAUUGGCAAGCCACUGUUCCAAUAGUGUGUCCUCCUGCAACACAUUUUUGUACUAUAUGGUUUAGAAUGUUGCAUGCAUGCAGAUAGAAAAAUUUCGGAUGUCUGAUAAACGUAUGUAAUAUUGGCUUAUUGCUUACCAACAAGGGUAACAAGAUCUUGAGCGCUUAGACCAACAUCUGCAAAUUUUUUCUUCUGGACCGCGACUGAGUCUGUGAAACUCGGCAAAUUGGCGGUGUCGGACGCCAAUGACACUCGUCCGUCUCUCCGGCCAGUAGGCACGCGAUAAGUCAGUGCACCGACCUGCAUGUGAAAACAUAAGAACAAUGAGAUGCUGAUAUAACAAUGAUCCUACUUCGAAAUAGCAUAAAUUAUUUGAAUUUUUUGGUUAAAAUCAUAUAUAGCACAUUCGAAACAUUUAUCUUACUUCUACUGUGGCAUCACGAGCAGCAAGAGCAAGAAUAUCAGCACACGACACGACUCCGGGGCAUGCUGCCUCUAGCUGUGUUUUGGCAUCCUCAAUCACUUCAUAUCCUCUCAGCAGAAGAUUUGGCCUAGCGGUUUUCUCAGCAUUGCUGCCAUCGAUAAGAAUCGAAGCAUCGCAACCAUGAACGAAGCAAUCAUGGAAGACCAUUCUGAGCAGUCCGGGGGCAACAGUGGAAUCGGAGUUAACAUGUUUCUUAACGGUGGCUUGAACGAUGGAUUCCGCUCUGGGACAAGAGGUGGAAUAGAAGCCGACCCUAGUCUGAGCUAGAGCUAAGGGUGUGGCGACUAGAAGAACAAAUAGAAUAGAGAGUUUGCUAAGGAAAGAAUCCAUUUGAGUUUGUUAUGUGUUGUUAUAAAUUGAUUGUGUGUUUAGAGGAAACGAAGGUGGUGUAUUUAUAGGGACAUAAAAGUGCUAAAAUGGGCUAAACGUGUGGAGACCAGAGAGAACCAGGGUCAAUGAAAAAUACGUGGCAACGGAUUGGAAAAGUUGUCCACUGGUGAGUUGUAGUCCACUCUCGGGCUGCCCAAGUUGUUUGAUUCGUUGAUUGAUAGAAGAGUCAAAUGAAUGUUCAUACAUGCGGUUGCAUAGUUUAAGUUCAAUUUAUGUCAGAUUUUCUCAGACACGUACUCAGUGGAUUAAUAUUUUGGCAUUUACCUCAUAUAUACAUAAAAGUUUGCUCAGAAACUAAUUCCUUCUUGUAAAUUAUAGAGUAAUAAUUAUUGAUUAGAUAUUCAAAAUUCCAACAAUUAUGGACUUACUCGAAAUUCAUUUUACGGUCUUAAAUCAUCGUACAUGCAGUAUUCUAAAAAUCCCCGAUUUAACCGAUAAAUCCCCUGCAAGGUCGGCCACCGAUUCGAUUUUUUAAAUCCGAUUAAUCCUUAUAUAUAUUCCUUAAUCGAAGUAUAUAUGAUAAAUUAUUAAAAUUAAAAUACUAUAUUACUUUAAGUAUGGUUUAUUAUAGAGUUUAUGAAUAUGGUAAAGAUAUUAGUUACUAAAUAGCUAAUAUAAUAAUAACUAAAUAUUAAAUAAUAUUUUAAUAUAAAAACAAAACCGAUUUUCACUCCGAUUAAUCCUUGCGAUUAAUCUCCGAUUUCCGAUUAAUCCCUGAAUCGGUAGCUCAACCGAUUAAGUCCGAUUCUCGAUUUCUGUAACACUGCAUACAUGUAUAAAUAAUAUCUCUAUCAUUUUUUUUUUAAUUUAUACUCAUUUUAUUCUAUUACAUCCACUCCAACUAAACACAACAUAAUUGUGUGUUUGUGUGUAAGCCUAAUAUUACAACUCUUGAAACAUAAUUUGAAAUUAGUUUUACAAAACUAUAUUUGAAAUGUUGUAAAUCAUUGUGCUUGCGGAAAAUGGUGAAGUGGGAACCGGAAAAGAAGCUUAAAUAAGUGUGAAACGCAUACGCAGGCGAAUACCUUGAUGUUACGUUCUAUCAAGGAAACUAAAGUAAUGGCGAAGCUGUUGCAAACUUAAUUUUGUGUGGAGUAUUAGUACUCCAAAUGGAUAGCGUAAACAUGUUUUCUAUUACAAAGUUGUUAGGGUGUCAAAUACUCCGCUAACACUGACAUGCAUGCAUUCCAUGAUUAAAAAACUAAAAAUUACUAAAAGAGAAGGUGGAAACUAUUGACUCGGGGUUCAGCAAAAGUUUUCAAAAGAGUCAAAGCAAUGCGUGUGGGGUCGCGAAUAACUUACUCUGCAUUAUCAUGAAACUUCCUGCACUAGUAUUUAACUAUUCUUUGUCAAGCCUUCUACUUUACUCCCUCAAUUUGUUUUAUUUAACAUUUUAAUUUUUCACACGUAUUUUCUGGUGAAGUGAUCUGAUAAUAUAAUUAUUUUUAUUAUAUUUUUGCCAAUUAUGAUAUUGAUUAUAUAUUUUUAUUCUGAAAAUUAAAAUUUUGAAUUAUUUUUAGUUAUCUAGUCAGAAUAUUUAAAAAUAUGUAUUAGAAACCAAACGUCGAAUAAAAUAAUAAGAUCGAGCUAUAUGUCUAUCAGGGAGGCAAAAACCGCAUGCUGUAUAUGACUGUUCUCAAAAUCUACGUGCCGUGAUAAUCAAAUAGCGGUUUCGUAAAAGAGUGUGAGAAUAAAUUAAAGAGUUUAAGAAGUAAUUAUUCCAGUUAGUUUUCGAUACCUCUUGUGCAAAAAUACAAAUUUUUGCAUAAAACACAGAACUCCUCAUAUUUAAUUUAGAUGGAAUUAAAACACAAAAUAUAUUGUCUUUAAAUGAUUCUACUGAAUAUAUUUUUAAUCAUCGACAGAUUUUGGGAGGACAAAUUUCAAUCUGAACCCUGCAUCAUUCUUUUGAUCACAAAAGAUAUUAAUCAAAAACUUGUCUUCGUCUUCUCUGUUCAUAAGUCAGCUUUUACGCAACAGCUAUUUCAUUAAAGUUUUCUAAAGAUUAUUCAUGUUCGAUAGAAAAUUAUUGUCAGACAUUUUAAUUCACAAAUUAUAUUUCAAAAAUAUUACUAUUUCAUUUGAAAAUUUUAAAAUGUUAUAUAUAUAUUUCACCUUAAAUAUUUUAUUUGCUGAGUUUUGCAGGACAUCUUAUUCACGAUUACAUAUUUUUCUACUCCAUCACAUGGUUUUUUUGCUUACUUUUUAGUUAAACCAGUCAUUGUGUCCGACAGCAAAACCAACACGGACUAUAGGUAUCGAGGACGAUUUCUCUCUGAUGCUAUAGGUAUAUUAUUUGUGUGUAUGGUAGAAUGUAUAUCUAUUAUUUUUUUUUGUCACUUUAUAUGGCAAUUUUUCUUAGCUGUGAUAAUAGAUGAAAACAUGAGCUGAGUUGCUUUUGAGUUUUGACAUAUAAUGUUCAUGGAGAGUUUCAUGUUAAAUGCCUAAAAAAUGUUUACGGAGUAAGGCUGACAGACUAUAUGCACGUAGUAUGAAAAAGUAAGGGGCGACGGGCGUCAUCAGCUCACCUUCACUACAAUAAAAUCGGGUACUUACGACAGAAAUUCGUAUCUAAAAAACAGCGCCGUCCUUGGAUCCGGCACUUCUCCCUUAUUUUUCAUUUGAAAAAAUAUUUAUAAAAAACUUAUGACAUCGUACUCUAGUAUUAUAAUUAUUUGAUUUUUUCAAUUGAAAAAAUAUUAAAAUAUAUAAAAAGCUUACAACGGAUUCGUUUUUCGUCGUAACAAUUUAAGACGGAACUCUACUAAUCCAUAGUAACUUUAUACGCGUGGUCCCUCAUAAGUUAUCUGUUACUAUAACUUAUAAAUGACUUUAUUUGUUGUAGCGCUUGUCGUAUACCCCGGCCUGGUAUAAUUGGCCCCAUCUCCUUCAUUCUAUGCACCACCGUAUAUUUGACUGAACAGACACAUUGCAUCACCAGAUGCCCCACCAUUCAUGAAAUCCCAGUUUUAGUAGAAUAGCACUCAAAUAAGUGAAUAACUCCACUCAAUCUUGUCAUAGCCUUAGCCAUGUCCAACUUAAACGCCAUAAACCCCUCCUUUCCUGUUCUCUUUAGUUUGUGAUAGUGCAUGACUUCAUAACUUAUAAUUAGAAUAUCUAUCUAGGGUUAAAUUUGUAGUGAUAAAUUAAAAUUAAUUUUUUAAUUAAACCGAUCGAUCACAAAAUUAUAAUGUCUUUUCAUUAUAUUUUAUUUUAUAUCAAUUUUUCAGUAUUUGAAUAUCAAAUUCUUAAAAUCAAAAUUAUUUUAAUUUGUAUAUAUCGAUAUAUACAGAAAUCAAUGAUUACUGGGUUAGUCAUUGAUAUUAUAAGAUUAAAAAAAAAUAUCGUAUACUAUUGGGUUUAUUUCCAUCGCCAUUUUUAGGGCAAAGCGAUUGGAGUGUAGGAAGGAACGAGGGAUCGAUGGUAGGAUCAGCACCCCCGGAGUUUGUGAAGUUGUAUAAUCUGUAGCUCACGAAUUGGCAAGCCACUGUUCCAAUAGUGUGUCCUCCUGCAACACAUUUUUGUACUAUAUGGUUUAGAAUGUUGCAUGCAUGCAGAUAGAAAAAUUUCGGAUGUCUAUAAACGUAUGUAAUAUUGGCUUAUUGCUUACCAACAAGAGUUACAAGAUCUUGAGCGCUAAGACCAACAUCUGCAAAUUUUUUCUUCUGGACCGCGACUGAGUCUGUGAAACUCGGCAAAUUGGCGGUGUCGGACGCCAAUGACACUCGUCCAUCUCUCCGGCCAGUAGGCACGCGAUAAGUCAGUGCACCGACCUGCAUGUGAAACAUGGGAACAAUGAGAACUGAUAUAACAAUGAUCCUAUUAUGCUGCAGAAAUAUUUGAAUUAUUUUCUUAAAACCGCGAAUAUAGCACAUUCGAAACAUUUAUCGUACUUCGACUGUGGCAUCACGAGCAGCCAGAGCAAGAAUAUCAGCACAAGACACGACUCCGGGGCAUGCUGCCUCUAGCUGUGUUUUGGCAUCCUGAAUGACUUCAUAUCCUCUUAACAAAAGAUUUGGCCUAGCUGUUUUCUCAGCAUUGCUGCCAUCGAUAAGAAUCGAUGCAUCGCAGCCAUGAACGAAGCAAUCGUGGAAGACCAUUCUGAGCAAUCCUGGGGCAACAGUGGAAUCGGAGUUAACAUGUUUUUUAACGGUGGCUUGAACGAUGGAUUCCGCUCUGGGACAAGAGGUGGAAUAGAAGCCGACCCUAGUCUGAGCUAGAGCUAAGGGUGUGGCGAGUAGAAGAACAAAUAGAAUAGAGAGUUUGCUAAGGAAAGAAUCCAUUUGAGUUUGUAAUGUGUUGUUGUUAUAUAUAAGUUGAUUGUGAGUUUAAAGGAAACGAAGGUAAAAUAAUAGUACUUUUGAUGAUGUGGCAUGACAUGGACCGGCACUCUCGUUAGCACCCCCAUUGGAGAUGUUGGAGUGCUAUUGGGGUGCCAAGUGAGUUGGCUUUGGGGUGCCAAAAGUUAGCAACCCAUAAAGUAGGGUGCCAACUUCUUUUGUAGUCCCAAUAAUACAUAAAAUAUAGAUUUGUGGUCCCCAAUAAUACAUAGAAUAUUAUCUCUAUUAAUAAAGUUGGCAUUUUGGAGUGCCAACCAUUGUAGUGUAUUUUGAAAUAAGGGUGCUAGAAAUGAUUUGGAAGAAUGAGAAUAUAAAAAAUAAUAUUUUGAGUUAUGUGUCAAAAUUGACACCCAUCGAAGGGUGCCAACCAUCGGAGAUGCUCUAAUUAAGACACCAUAUGGUUGGGCUUUUAACACACUUGUCCGGCUUGCUGCCUUCACCCAACAAACUGACCUAUUUAUCACGCAUCACAAUUCGAAUGCAAUCUAGACAUCAUAUUUUUCUUAUUUGCUUCCUGCCAAUCCAUAAUCUGUUUAGAGCUCAUCUCGAACAUGUACUCGAGUCAGUUUCAUUCUCUUGCAAGACUUUCCAGUUCCUUGCAAACCAAACUCCUGCUAAAACCUUAUCAAUGCCGAUCAAAUUAUUCGUUGACUCUGAUAUGCUGCGCCUGCACAUUCUACCUCCCGCAUAUCUAACUCAAUUUUCUGAAAUGUUUCAGAUUGCGCGAGUUAGUAGUACAUGACAAACGUACAGCAUUCGGUUUAAUCGUUUCUUUUCUGUGGGCUCCUUGUGUUUGUAAAAUGACAGCUUAUUUAAAAGCUAAAUAAAUUUCUCCAGAAAGUUCUAUUCAAACUCGCAAACCGCAGAGACAGCUAAUUAAAUCAUAACUAAAUGAUAACACUACAAGAAAACAGUCAAUAGACAUCGGUUUUUGAUGUGGCAUAUAAUAGUACUUUUGAUGAUGUGGCAUGACAUGGACCGGCACUCUCGUUAGCACCCCCAUUGGAGAUGUUGGAGUGCUAUUGGGGUGCCAAGUGAGUUGGCUUUGGGGUGCCAAAAGUUGGCAACCCAUAAAGUAGGGUGCCAACUUCUUUUGUAGUCCCAAUAAUACAUAAAAUAUAGAUUUGUGGUCCCAAUAAUACAUAGAAUAUUAUCUCUAUUAAUAAAGUUGGCAUUUUGGAGUGCCAACCAUUGUAGUGUAUUUUGAAAUAAGGGUGCUAGAAAUGAUUUGGAAGAAUGAGAAUAUAAAAAAUAAUAUUUUGAGUUAUGUGUCAAAAUUGACACCCAUCGAAGGGUGCCAACCAUCGGAGAUGCUCUAAUUAAGACACCAUAUGGUUGGGCUUUUAACACACUUGUCCGGCUUGCUGCCUUCACCCAACAAACUGACCUAUUUAUCACGCAUCACAAUUCGAAUGCAAUCUAGACAUCAUAUUUUUCUUAUUUGCUUCCUGCCAAUCCAUAAUCUGUUUAGAGCUCAUCUCGAACAUGUACUCGAGUCAGUUUCAUUCUCUUGCAAGACUUUCCAGUUCCUUGCAAACCAAACUCCUGCUAAAACCUUAUCAAUGCCGAUCAAAUUAUCCGUUGACUCUGAUAUGCUGCGCCUGCACAUUCUACCUCCCGCAUAUCUAACUCAAUUUUCUGAAAUGUUUCAGAUUGCGCGAGUUAGUAGUACAUGACAAACGUACAGCAUUCGGUUUAAUCGUUUCUUUUCUGUGGGCUCCUUGUGUUUGUAAAAUGACAGCUUAUUUAAAAGCUAAAUAAAUUUCUCCAGAAAGUUCUAUUCAAACUCGCAAACCGCAGAGACAGCUAAUUAAAUCAUAACUAAAUGAUAACACUACAAGAAAACAGUCAAUAGACAUCGGUUUUUAACCGAUGUCUAUGUUCUUUCCGGACCGAUGUCUUUGUCGGUGAUGUCUAUAUAUAGACAUCGGUCAAAAACCGAUGUCUGAAAUAAGAUAUGUGUGAGAGAAGACGUACCCACUUCGAUUCAAACUUACCAAGCUGAGUAGAGAGUAGAGAACACCGGAGAUAGGUGAUGAGUGGUGGUGAGCGGAGCGGCAGUGAUGAGUGAGCAGUAGUGUUGAGCGGAGCGGUGGUGAGCGGUGGUGAGCGGGCUGAGUGGGUGGUGAGCGGUGGUGAGUGGGUGGGCUGAGUGAGAGAGAUGGUCGAGAGAUCAGAGAGAUAGUCGAGAGAGAGAGGUCGAGUGAGAGAGAGAGUCGAGUGAGAGAGUUUGUAAGAAAUGUUGUAGUUAUUUUAGUUAUUAGUUUAGAUUUUUGAUUUUAAUUUUAUGUUAAAUAUGUCUGAAGAGAAGGAGAGAAGCCUAAAAUGUUCUAAGGCGGAGGAAUAUUUGGUUCUAACGCGGGGUUUUUUUGACUAAGGAGGGGAGAGAGGGAUGGCCGUGUGUUUUGAAUUUUUUUAAUGAUAUUUUAGACAUCGGUUUAAAUUUAAUUGAUGUCUUAAAAUGCUAAAGACAUCGCCUCUAGAAUGGGUGAUGUUAAAAACAUUUUUAACAUCGGCGGCAAAUCUGACCGAUGUCUGACCUAUGAUGUCUAUUAACAAGUUUCUUGUAGUGUAAAAACACAUAUUUCGCGCCAUUUUAUUAUUCCUUCCAAUUAUUUCACAUAAUUUAUGAUGUUUAAAUAUCUAAUUUUAAUUGUUAUGUCAAAAAAAAAUCUCAACAAAAAUAUAAACUAUACACUUUUGUUGAUUUACGAAAUGGAAAAUUUAAAUAUAUUUAAAUAUUUUAAAUUACAUGGAAAAAUUCGAAUAAGAUGUAAAGGGAGGGGAGCACUAUUUUGCGACUGAUAGAUGGAAUUGCAUGCUUAUAUUACAUAACCUUCCCUACUCAAGUUUCAAAUUGUUAUUGUUUAAAAAAAAGUAGGGUUUUGGAAACCCCCCCAAAUUCUACAUCCUUUUUAAUUAAUUGCUGAACAAAUUUUGCGAAUUUCACCGGCACUCCCCGUCUUCACUCCAACAUUCAUCAUUUUGAUCAUGGCCUUUCCAAACUCAACAUUCAGAGUCAGUCCAGCCAAUCCUCUAAUACCCAUAAAUCUCUGUGCAUCUCGUACAUUUUUGAAGAACGAACGAUCAAAAUUGUCGCCACUUCCAUAAUCUAACGGGAUUCGUUUGUUUCCAUCACCAUUUUGCGGGCAAAGAGAUUGGAGUGUAGGAAGGAAUUUGGAAUUGAUUGUUGGAUCCGCACCGCUAGUAUUUUUGAAGUUGUAUAGUCUGUAACUUACGAAUUGGCAUGCAACGGUUCCAAUAGUGUGUCCUCC
rnacentral:lncRNA from 1 species